GCGGGAGUAAUUCAGCAGCAGAAUGUCUGCUUUCCAAGCAGAACGUCACGGGUGCAAGUCCCGUCUCCCGCUCCA
rnacentral:tRNA from 1 species